rnacentral:lncRNA from 1 species
GGAAUAAUCUCUUAAUACUGCUCCUACUGUCUUGUCUCCACUGACAUGCAGGAUAUGUUGCAUCUUCUUUCUGGAUAUACUUCAUGAGAGUACAGCAGGAGGCUAGAUGUGUUUUGCAUCAGCUGCAUCAAUCUGGAAUUUGUACAGAUGUCCUGAAUUUUGCAAUGUUCUCACUUGCAUGAGGCACCUCUCCCAAAGCACUGAUGCCACGGAGAGGGUGUCCCACGAGGCAAGCAGCACUGCUGAGAGUGCUGCAGCCCUGCCAGAGCAGUGACCUUCCUCAGGGAGGAGGUCUGAUCUGGAGAGUGAAAACAGCUUGCUACUUGGAGGACUGUCCACAAAAGAACAAAGCUCUGAGGACACUUCCCUGCACUGUGCCCCACUAGAGAUAAUGUAGAGCCAAGAUGUUGGCCUCAGGAAACACAACUAUGUGAGACAGUCUCUUGUUAAGUGUUUUGUUUCUUUCUUGUCCUAGGAUUCAUGUGCUCCAGUGCCUGGUGCUCUGGGUGUUGCUGCUCCUUUGGAUCUGAUGCACUGGGAGGCAAGUGCCUUGGGCAUUCUCAGCUCCUGCUUGUAAGAAAGAGGAAUCAUGUUAGUUCAUCUUAUAGGGAUGCUGGUGCUCUUUCCUGACAAUCUUUAAUAGCUGGUGCUGUGGAAGAAGACUGGAAUCUUUUUUAACCAGGUGUGCAUCUCUCCAGAUUUGUGUUUUACAUGUCACUGGCAACAUGUGAGGAAGAAAUACUCAUGAAAGGGCCAACGCUCCUGCACAACAACAUUAAUGGGGAAUCAGUUCUGGAUACACAGAAGGGCAAGUUCCUUGUGGCAGCUGAAUGGAGAGUUAUGGAUGCAUAGAAAAGUGAGAUGAUGGUGUAUGAUCCAUGCAUCCUGGAAAUCAGUAGCACUAUGGUUAUAAAACAUCUCCAUUUGUCUGCUUUGGCAGACUGGUCAUAAUGAAGAAUUUUAAACUUGGUGCAGAAUAUAAAUCCUGGUAGUAAGGAACUCUCAAGCCAACAGGAAUUUAGCUGCUUGAAGAUCUUGGUCUUGGUUUAGUCCAAUUUUUAGCCAAAGUGUGGAUUCCACACUUUGAAGUUCUCAAUUAAAAGGUCAUCCUCAUAUUAUCAAGCAGUCCAGACUCACCAUACCAUCAGCCUGUUUUCCAGAAAAAUCACCCCUGUUGGAAGGACAACUGGAAAUGCCUAAAUGAGAUGACAGAAAUUCUGUGACCUGAGCCAAAAGCAAUUUUGCUGUCAAGGCAAAAAAAUUUUUCAUUUAGACAGAAGUGUUAGGAAAUAGUAGUGUUUUGAUAGACAGUUCACAAGAUGAUAUUUGUGAAA